AUGGACUCGCGGCUUAUCAGCUUGUUGGUGGGGUAGUGGCUUACCAAGGCUUUGACGGGUAGCCGGCCUGAGAGGGUGACCGGCCACAUCGGGACUGAGAUACGGCCCAGACUCCUACGGGAGGCAGCAGUGGGGAAUAUUGCACAAUGGGUGGAAGCCUGAUGCAGCAACGCCGUGUGCGGGAUGACGGCCUUCGGGUUGUAAACCGCUUUCGCUCAUGACGAAGCUUUGUGUGACGGUAGUGGGUAAAGAAGCACCGGCUAACUACGUG
rnacentral:rRNA from 1 species